rnacentral:rRNA from 1 species
UACGUAGGGGGCAAGCGUUGUCCGGAUUUAUUGGGCGUAAAGAGCGUGUAGGCGGCCAUACAGGUCCGUUGUGAAAACUGGAGGCUUAACCUCCAGACGUCGAUGGAAACCGUAUGGCUAGAGUCCGGAAGAGGAGAGUGGAAUUCCUGGUGUAGCGGUGAAAUGCGCAGAUAUCAGGAAGAACACCCGUGGCGAAGGCGGCUCUCUGGACAGGUACUGACGCUGAGACGCGAAAGCGUGGGUAGCAAACAGG